CGAUGGCUGUUUGCAUUGGAUUGAGACACGUACAAACCUUAUCGAUAAACAAUUGGAGGGCAAGUCUGGUGCCAGCAGCCGCGGUAAUUCCAGCUCCAAUAGCGUAUAUUAACGUUGUUGCAGUUAAAAAGCUCGUAGUUGAAAUGAAGGGUAGUUGUGUAAUGAAUACAUUCGUGUAUUUUGUUAUUCUACUACCCUCCUUCUAAAUUCGAUAUAUGAGUAUUAAUUUACUUGUAUAUGGUUUUAGACCUUUACUGUGAGAAAAUUAGAGUGUUCAAAGCAGGCAUUUGCUUGAAUAUAUUAGCAUGGAAUAAUCAUGUAUGAUUUUCAUGAUGUAUUUGAUUGGUUUGGUUCAUGAGAAUAAGAUUAAAAGGGACAGUUGGGGGUAUUCAUAUUCAAUAGUCAGAGGUGAAAUUCUCGGAUUUAUGGAAGAUGAACAAGUGCGAAAGCAUUUACCAAGGAUGUUUUCAUUAAUCAAGAACGAAAGUUAGGGGAUCGAAGAGGAUUAGAUACCCCUAAAUCUCCUUAAAAAA
rnacentral:rRNA from 1 species